rnacentral:rRNA from 1 species
CUCUUGAGAGCGGCGGACGGGUGAGUAAUGCCUAGGAAUCUGCCUGGUAGUGGGGGAUAACGUUCGGAAACGGACGCUAAUACCGCAUACGUCCUACGGGAGAAAGCAGGGGACCUUCGGGCCUUGCGCUAUCAGAUGAGCCUAGGUCGGAUUAGCUAGUUGGUGGGGUAAUGGCUCACCAAGGCGACGAUCCGUAACUGGUCUGAGAGGAUGAUCAGUCACACUGGAACUGAGACACGGUCCAGACUCCUACGGGAGGCAGCAGUGGGGAAUAAUGGACAAUGGGCGAAAGCCUGAUCCAGCCAUGCCGCGUGUGUGAAGAAGGUCUUCGGAUUGUAAAGCACUUUAAGUUGGGAGGAAGGGUUGUAGAUUAAUACUCUGCAAUUUUGACGUUACCGACAGAAUAAGCACCGGCUAACUCUGUGCCAGCAGCCGCGGUAAUACAGAGGGUGCAAGCGUUAAUCGGAAAUUACUGGGCGUAAAGCGCGCGUAGGUGGUUUGUUAAAGUUGGAUGUGAAAUCCCCGGGCUCAACCUGGGAAACUGCAUUCAAAACUGACUG